UUGGCUCCAUUUCAAACUCCCAGAACUCCCCGGGCUUUGGGGACAGCAAAUGCAGGAAAUCCCACUCACCAGCCUGCGACCCGGGAAUAUGAGUUCCAAUCCCAUUCUGGCUACUAAUCCAUUCACUCAGCAAAUAUUUAUUGAGCAGCUACUAUGUGCCAGACUCUAUUUGAGGCACUGGGCACACAGUGUGAACAAUUUAGAACGUGUCCCCAGUCUCCUGCACUUACACUCUCAAAGUGGGACAGAGACAGGACAUGAAUGAUUAAUAAGUGCAAUAAGCUCAUAGAGUGAUAAGCAAAGAAAGAUAUGUUGGGUAAUGAUGCAAAGAGUAAGUGGAAACCGGCGUUUGUAGACAGUGUAGACUGGAGAGGUCUCCUGGGGUCACUGGCAUUCUGGCUGAAGCCAAAGGACUAGCUUGCUGCACCUGGGGAAGCUUUGUCCCCUCUCUGAACCUCAGUUUUCCUACCUGUACAUGAGGACAUUGGACCAGCCAGGUCUGGCUUUCUGUGAUUCUCGGAAUUGUGGCAGCGGCUCCCAGAAGUGGUUGGAGAAGUGGGUUCCUGGCUAACAAUGUCAAAAGGGGAGACAAGUUGACCCUGUCAGCGAUGGAUGGUGGGAUCCAAUGAGAGUCCGUUCUCCCUGCCACGGCACCAUGCCCGUCUGACGGGUUAUGUGUUAGACUGUGGGCAACAGGGGUCUGGAGGCCUUUCCUUAUCCCCCACCCGCCUCCCUACCAUUACCCACCCACCCCCAUCACUGAGCCCAGCCCCCCAUACAAAGAAAAUGCACAGGGUCCAUAGGACCCCACUUUCUACAACCUCAGGAAUAAUCAGGACUUUCUUAGGACAGCCCAGAAGGGGGAAUGGGUGCCUGUGACUUAGAACAGGAAAGACUCCUAAAGUCACUUAGCCCAUUGACUCCCAAGCUGAGGUCAGAGGUCCUAGAAGACAGCAAUGGGGGAGAGGCAGUAGCUUGAGGCCAGCAUCAGCAUUUCAUAAAAUCUUUUGGAAAUGCACAUUCCCCUCGCCCACAAUAAGAUAACCCUCUCCAGGUAUCAAGCGCCGGCAUCUCCAACUCGGAAUUUAACAAGUCGACAUGGGGACUCUGGCUGCUCCAUGUUGCUCAGCACGCCUUCGAUGAAUAAAAACUGAGAAGACGAAUUCAUUGCGAUUUAAUCAAUGAGGUACUAUUCUAGCGAAGGAUGAUGAUUUUAAAACAGUAAACUCUGGAGGCAAAAAAAAACAAAAAUGCCUGGUUUCAAAUCCCGGCUCUGCUCCUGGUCCAAGCCUCAGUUUCAUCACCUGUGAAAUGGAGGAGACAGCACACAGCAGUUGUCAGAAUUAUGCAGAUACCAGACGUAAAGCCUCCGGUCCGUGCCUGGUGCAGAACAAAUGCUCAGUAAGCACUGCCUGCUACAGUGAUCUCACUGAGUCCUCACAACAGCCCUGGGGGCAGAGAGGGUCAGUAAUGUGACACUUUCCAUCUCAGUUUCUUGAGGUGUGGAAAGUGCCUGCUCUGCCUGCCCAGGGCUUUGGCAGCCACGGGUGGGACCGUCCACAGCUCUGGGUGAGCACGGAGAGGCAGCUGCCCCAGGUGCUGCGGGGCUCAGCUGACGAGCUGCGCAGGAACUCAGGCGCAAGCCACCCUUGCCGAGAGGGCACGACGCUGGGGCUACAGCAUCUCCUGCUCUUGGAACUGCUCGGGCCCUGGGAGUGUCUGGGGAGGUGGAAAGCAGCCCCGGACAGGGGCGAGCCCGCCCGGAGCACAAAGCUGCGUCCUGGGCCCACUCUGCUCUCUGCUGUGCCGCCAACGGCUCGAUGCUACUGACCUCUGGUGGCGACGAGCUGCCGCUCAGCCGGACCUGCGCGAGUCCCCGCCCCGGCUCCCAGCCCAGCCCGGGGGACGCAGGCCCCGCAGGCUGAGCCCCCAGAGGGCCCGGCGAAGCCCGGCCUCUCUCCUUCCUCCAGGCCUCGGCGGCGGCAUCUGGAAUGCCAACCCCAGAAUCUCACCGCUGUGAGGCUGGAAGGGCCCUCAGCAAAGGGGCUUUACUUACCCCCCAUCAGAUCCGCUGACGCUUCCGAGGCUGAGCCGGUCCCAGACCCGGCACAGGCCCGGGGCGCCUGGAGCAUCAGCCCCUCGGUCCCCCCACCCAGCUCGGUGUUUCCAGCUACGCAGCCUCUCCUGAAAUGUGGUUACACUGCUCUGUAAUAAUCCAAUAUCAUAUUGUGACACUGAUUU